rnacentral:tRNA from 1 species
GCAAUGGUGGUUCAGUGGUAGAAUUCUUGCCUUUCAUACGGGAGAUCCAGGUUCAAUUCCUACCCAGUGCA